rnacentral:rRNA from 1 species
AACGAACGCUGGCGGCAUGCCUAACACAUGCAAGUCGAACGAAGGCUUCGGCCUUAGUGGCGCACGGGUGCGUAACGCGUGGGAAUCUGCCCCUUGGUUCGGAAUAACUCAGAGAAAUUUGAGCUAAUACCGGAUGACGACGUAAGUCCAAAGAUUUAUCGCCGAGGGAUGAGCCCGCGUAGGAUUAGCUAGUUGGUGGGGUAAAGGCCUACCAAGGCGACGAUCCUUAGCUGGUCUGAGAGGAUGAUCAGCCACACUGGGACUGAGACACGGCCCAGACUCCUACGGGAGGCAGCAGUGGGGAAUAUUGGACAAUGGGCGAAAGCCUGAUCCAGCAAUGCCGCGUGAGUGAUGAAGGCCUUAGGGUUGUAAAGCUCUUUUACCCGGGAUGAUAAUGACAGUACCGGGAGAAUAAGCUCCGGCUAACUCCGUGCCAGCCGCCGCCGUAACAC